AUUCCAAGCUUUAAUCCUUGAGGGACCACCAGUGGCGAAGGCGUCUCACCAGAACGGACCUGACGGCAAGGGACGAAAGCUAGGGGCACGAACCGGAUUAGAUACCCGGGUAGUCCUAGCCGUAAACGAUACUCGCUAGGUGUCGGCCACGGUGCGACCGUUGUCGGUGCCGUAGGAGAUC
rnacentral:rRNA from 1 species